GAAAUAAAUCUGAUGGGUUGUUGCUGGUUCUCUAGGGAGCAUGUGCACACUUGUCAUCUUUAUAUCUCCACCUGUGCACCUUUUGUAGAUCUGGAUAGCUUUCUGAAUGCCUAGCAUUUGGGUUUGAGGAUUGACUUUUCUGUCUUUCUUUACUUCCAGGUCUAUGUUUCUUCAUAUACCCCAAUGUAUGUUAUAGAAUGUAAUAAAUGAGCCUUUGUGCCUAUAAAUUUAUACAACUUUCAGCAACGGAUCUCUUGGUUCU
rnacentral:misc_RNA from 1 species